rnacentral:RNase_P_RNA from 1 species
GGGUAUGUAAUCGCGGCCGGAACAUUUGUUCCGGGUGAGGAAAGUCCGGGCUUCACAGGGCAGGAUGCCGGAUAACGUCCGGCGGGGGCAACCCCAGGACCAGUGCAGCAGAAAAUUACCGCCCGCAAGGGUAAGGGUGAAAAGGCAGUGUAAGAGACUACCGCCGUCCUGGUAACAGUACGGGCAGAUGUAAACUCCAUCCGAAGCAAGGCCAAACAGGGGACGAUGCGGCGGCCCGUCGCGUCUCCGGGUAGGUCGCUUGAGGCUGCAGGCAACUGCAGUCCUAGACAGAUGAUUACACACGACAGAACCCGGCUUAUCGCCCUG